UUGUGAAUAUUCUCACUGUUUUGAUUUUAUAAUAGUAACAACAAGCUAAACAUUCACUAUAUGAAGACCAUGCAUGUGCCUCGGACCUACCUUUCCCUAGGUCUGUUUUUAUAAAUGCUGGUGAUAAAA
ensembl:snoRNA SNORA72 Small nucleolar RNA SNORA72